rnacentral:rRNA from 1 species
GACGAACGCUUGCGGCGUGCUUAACACAUGCAAGUCGAACGGAAAGGCCCUGCUUUUGUGGGGUGCUCGAGUGGCGAACGGGUGAGUAACACGUGAGUAACCUGCCCUUGACUUUGGGAUAACUUCAGGAAACUGGGGCUAAUACCGGAUAGGAGCUCCUGCUGCAUGGUGGGGGUUGGAAAGUUUCGGCGGUUGGGGAUGGACUCGCGGCUUAUCAGCUUGUUGGUGGGGUAGUGGCUUACCAAGGCUUUGACGGGUAGCCGGCCUGAGAGGGUGACCGGCCACAUUGGGACUGAGAUACGGCCCAGACUCCUACGGGAGGCAGCAGUGGGGAAUAUUGCACAAUGGGCGGAAGCCUGAUGCAGCAACGCCGCGUGCGGGAUGACGGCCUUCGGGUUGUAAACCGCUUUCGCCUGUGACGAAGCGUGAGUGACGGUAAUGGGUAAAGAAGCACCGGCUAACUACGUGCCAGCAGCCGCGGUGAUACGUAGGGUGCGAGCGUUGUCCGGAUUUAUUGGGCGUAAAGGGCUCGUAGGUGGUUGAUCGCGUCGGAAGUGUAAUCUUGGGGCUUAACCCUGAGCGUGCUUUCGAUACGGGUUGACUUGAGGAAGGUAGGGGAGAAUGGAAUUCCUGGUGGAGCGGUGGAAUGCGCAGAUAUCAGGAGGAACACCAGUGGCGAAGGCGGUUCUCUGGGCCUUUCCUGACGCUGAGGAGCGAAAGCGUGGGGAGCGAACAGGCUUAGAUACCCUGGUAGUCCACGCUGUAAACGGUGGGUACUAGGUGUGGGGUCCAUUCCACGGGUUCCGUGCCGUAGCUAACGCUUUGAGUACCCCCGCCUGGGGAGUACGGCCGCAAGGCUAAAACUCAAAGGAAUUGACGGGGCCCCGCACAAGCGGCGGAGCAUGCGGAUUAAUUCGAUGCAACGCGUAGAACCUUACCUGGGUUUGACAUGGAUCGGGAGUGCUCAGAGAUGGGUGUGCCUCUUUUGGGGUCGGUUCACAGGUGGUGCAUGGCUGUCGUCAGCUCGUGUCGUGAGAUGUUGGGUUAAGUCCCGCAACGAGCGCAACCCUUGUUCACUGUUGCCAGCACGUUAUGGUGGGGACUCAGUGGAGACCGCCGGGGUCAACUCGGAGGAAGGUGGGGAUGACGUCAAGUCAUCAUGCCCCUUAUGUCCAGGGCUUCACGCAUGCUACAAUGGCUGGUACAGAGAGUGGCGAGCCUGUGAGGGUGAGCGAAUCUCGGAAAGCCGGUCUCAGUUCGGAUUGGGGUCUGCAACUCGACCUCAUGAAGUCGGAGUCGCUAGUAAUCGCAGAUCAGCAACGCUGCGGUGAAUACGUUCCCGGG